CCGGCUGUGCCCUGAGGGAGGAGCCAGAGCCAGGAGCCCCAGGUCACUGGCUGGGUGUUAAGUGAGGGACCUGUCGGCCUUGGGGCGGGGAGCAGCGGUCACUCGUUGGAGUCCGGCUCAGGGCGCCCCAGCUUCAUUUUUUUAUAUGAAUUCCUUCUCUGCGAAGACAGGAAGAACCUGAACCUCUGUAAGUCCAGACACCGAAACUAAACCCCCAAUGAAUGGAAGAUGUUAAUGAAGCAUUCUUUAUUCUGGAAAGAAGACCACUAGACUACUGAACACCAGCUUUGAAAACAACGCAGGCUUGCCUCUACCUUGAUCCUUAUCGGCAGCCCUAUUUUUCACUCCCAAAACUAUAAAACCACCUCCCAUUCUCUCCUACGGUGUGGCGGGGGGAGCCCACAGGCUUUAAAGCAUUAGCCUGCUGUGACCCUCCUUUGGCUGGCAAGUGUCUGUAUAAGAAAAGGGGAAGCCAUACAGAGGAGAAGCCAUGAAAAGACAGAAGUAGACAUUGGAGUUCUGCAACCCCAAGCCAAGAAAUGCCAGGAGCUACCAGAAAACGGAAGAGGCAAAGAAUGGAUUCUCCCCAGAACUUCUUGAGGGAACAAUGCCCUGGUGACAUCUUGAUUUCAGACUUCUGGCUUUUAAAACUAGUAAGAGAAUAGAUUUCUAUUGUUUUAAGCCACCCAGUACUUUGUUAUAAUAGCCCUAGGAAAAUAAUACUGCUUCUAUUUUCACACUCUUUCUGCUGUAAUCUGUCUGCCAGAAGUAGCCGUCUGUUGACUUUACCAACCAGAAUCUAUUCACCACUUUUUCUAUUAACAGCACACAUGUUUUCCUUGGAGAACCAUUCUCCUCCCACUCUGCUCAUGGGGUUUUGAUGGGCAUGGUAGAUUGUUUGCAUCCACGGUCCCAGCUCUUCAUCUCUCUGUAUCAUACCCUUUAGUAUGUACCUUUAGGGUUUCUCUUUUAGAAUUGGAAUUUACUUCCAUGACUGGAGUGAUUUCCUAUGGCCAAUAGAAUUGUGUGAAAGUGAAUCAAGGCCUCAAAAAGCUUUGCAAGUUUCUGAUUCCUCUUUUACAUUCUUGUUCUGCCAUGGAAGGCCACGAGAGGGACCCGAACCUUCCUGGCCAGCUCUCUGCAGACCUCAGGCAUAUAAGCAUGAAAUGCUUAUCACUAUAGGCCCUUGAAGCUUUGUGGUUGUUUGUUACAGCAACAAGUAAUGAAUAUAAUAGGGUUGCUAUUCUCUUGCAGCCAAAAGUAUGUGACCUGGACCUAAGCAUAGUGAUUAUUUCAGAGCUCCACAUGUUACCUGAAAAUAAACUCAGUUCUGAGUUGGGAAUCCCUUUCUGCUGGACUUGAUGGUAACAGAAAGCAAGUCCUGAAUCCUAAUGAACCCCUGCAUUUAAUAUGCCCCCACUCCCACCCCUGUGGUAUAUGAAAGUUCCUGGAGUUGCAACUUACACAGCUGCAGCUAUGCUGGAUCCUUAGCACUGGGCUUGGGAUAAAACUGUUAUAGGGUUCAAGUCCCUUCAAGGAGAUUAAGCCCAAAAGUCUCUGCCCAUGUCUCAUUAUAAUGUCCCUUCCCCUGUCUUGAGCAACAUGGGCUGCUCACUCCCUAUUAGGGAAGGAAUGUCUCCCAUUCCUUACCCCACCUCUAAUAUAACCUAUUCAUCAUGCAAAUAAGGGCUCCUGCCCAAAACCAAUCAGAAGAUCAAAUAUGCCCCAUACAGAGAUCAAACAAUACUCAGCCCUUUUGCAUGGGGCAGGGAGGCUGGGGCAAGAAAAAUCAGCAGGCCUGGGGCAAGAGAAAGUGAGUCUCCAAAAAGGUCUAUGGCUUGGGAAUACAAGGAAAGACCCAGUUGCAAGCAGGGCCAGUCCCUACUCCAGGAUGGCCCCUCCCUCUCUGAGGGCAUAAAUAAAACGUGCUGUACACUGCUGCAAACUUGACUUGAACUUGAUUGUGAUCUCCAAGGCAACUAGCGAGAGUGUUUUUCCACUCCAGGAGAAGGACCAGGAAUGAUCCACUAAAAGUGCCCUAACAAGAGCUGUAACUUUCAACCUAAGGUGCUCCCGUCAACCCUGAGCCACUCUUGCCCUGAACUGAAUGCUUCUGCCUAGAGAGCCUCCCUGCCUCCAUCCCUAGAUGGUGAGACUGCCAGCUCUAUCCCAGCACUGCUGCAGCACUUCCCAGCCAGAACAGUCCCCCACCAGACUGGCCACACCUCCAAAACCUUGCUGUGUGGGCAAGAAUCGAGAAAUAAUGCAGAGGGAUGUGAUAAAACCAGCACCUCUGUAGAGACAAGCUGGAUCUUUUCUUUUUUUUUUUUUUUUUUUACAAGCUGGAUCUUUAACCCACUGUGAUCUGGAACUCCUAACUAUGCCUGACUUUUUAGUUAUGUAAGUCAGUGCUAAAUAUUUCUUCUUCUCCUCUCCUUCCCCUCCUUCUUCUUCUUUGAUAACCUAAUUUAGGUUGGGAUUUUAACCCAUCAAAAGAAUUUACAUUUUUAUCCCGAUCACAUUCAUGCCAAGCUAUAUUUCCUAAACUACUAUUUUGAUUGUGUCAAUGUAAAAAAUUAUUGCUCUUCAUUUUCUUUCAUCAGUCAAGGCAUUCAUGGCAUCUGGCAUCUGGCUCUCAGGUUUUUAUUAGGGUUGAUUUCUGACUCUUGUCUUCCUUAUGUUUUCCAGCUGCUUGGUGUGUUUUCUGACUUUCUGCUUUUGUUCAUGUGGUUCUCUUUGCCUGGAAAGCCAUCCUCUUCUGAAUUAGGGCAUCAGUGCUGUAAUAAACAACCUGAACCUUUCAUGGGCUCUGUACAAUAAAUGUUCACUGUUUGCUUUUAUCACAGUUCUCAAUGCAACUGGUAGUGGGAGAGAGGGUUGACUAUAUGCAGACAGUUAAGUAGCCAGAUUUGUUUCCAUUUUAUAACACCAAUAUCUUUGGAUUGUGGCCUCUAGGGUUGUUAGGAAAGAGGAAAAAAGAGUGAAUGGAAAAAUCUAAAGGGAAACCAACUUUAGGGGCCAGUGCUGGAAGCAGCCUACACUCUUUUGACCUAUGUUCCAUAACAGUCCCCUUACUUGGCUCAAGCUAGAUUGAGGAGGCCUUACUUGGCGCAAGCUAGAUUGAGGAGGCUAGAAAAUAUGUUUUGUACUUUGUGCUGAGAAAGAAAAUGUUGCCUGCCACCUCAAUAAACAGAGGACAUCACAGUCAUUACUGGUUAUAGCCACCUGUAAGAGCGAGCAGGUAAGCCCUGAGGGAACUCAGCAAGGAAACAAAGAAUACCUGCCAUUCAUCAAACUGUACCCACUGCCUACUGAGGAAACUGAGGGUAUGAAAACACAGGAUAUUUGCCCCAGAUAGCUGAGGGGCAUAUCAAGAGAAUGAUUUCAGUGAGCCUAGACCUUGCAUCUUCCCAUACAUAG